CAUUAGAUGACUGAAAGAUAAGUAAUGGUCUCUUAAACCAAUUUAUAGUAAGUAACGCCUACUUCUAAUG
rnacentral:tRNA from 1 species